rnacentral:rRNA from 1 species
CAAGACAUGAAGUUAGGUCAGCAAACCCGCUGAAUUUAAGCAUAUAAGUAAGCGGAGGAUAAGAAACUAAAUAGGAUUCCCUCAGUAAUGGCGAAUGAACAGGGAUGAGCUCAGCAUGGAAAUUGGGGCCUCUGGCCUUGAAUUGUAGUCUGGAGAUGCAUUGCCAACGGAAGCGCAGAUGUAAGCCUCUUGGAAAAGAGCAUCAAUGAGGGUGAGAGUCCCGUUUGUCAUCUGCAGUCCUCCGUGCACGGCGUGCGUUCUAAGAGUCGCGUUCCUCGGGAUUGGAGCGUAAAUUGGGUGGUAAAUUUCAUCUAAAGCUAAAUAUUGGUUCGAGACCGAUAGCAAACAAGUACCAUGAGGGAAAGGUGAAAAGGACUUUGAAAAGAGAGUUAAAAGUGCCUGAAAUUGCUGAAAGGGAAGCGAAUGGAACCAGUGUUUCUUGGUAAGAUUGCUGCGUGCUAAUGUGAUGGCUUGUCGUUUCAACGCAAGUGUUGCGACGGGUUUUGAUCUGGACGUGCGUGGUGUUUCUUACCUUGUGUGUCAACGUCGGUUCGGACUUGAGGAAAACUCCAGGGACAUGGUAAUUCACCUGCGGUGAAUGAAUGUGCUUGGCAGAACUCAUUUCUUGACUGAUUCCUGUAUGUCUGGUCGCAGUGUUUUCACUGCCGUGGCCUCUUGUCUCUCAUGAUUCAUAGGGCUUGGCGUGUGUGGCACUUCCCUGACAUAAGUACGAUGACAAAAUGGUUUUAUUCGACCCGUCUUGAAACACGGACCAAGGAGUCUAACAUAUGUGCAAGUUCACGGGUGUUAAACCUGAUUGCGCAAUGAAAGUGACUGCUGGGAUUUCUGCACCAGCAACCGACCAAUCAAUUGUGAGAGGUUUGAGUAUGAGCAUAUCUGUUAGGACCCGAAAGAUGGUGAACUAUGCCUGAGAAGGGCGAAGUCAGGGGAAACUCUGAUGGAGGCUCGUAGCGAUACUGACGUGCAAAUCGUUCGUCAUAC